ensembl:lncRNA novel transcript, sense intronic to SDC4
CAGUUCUUCCUGUCCAGCUGGGAGCAUUCCCUGAUCUGCCUUCCUGCCACUCCCUCUCAGGCCAAUUAAAGGCAGCCUUGUUUUGGGAGUCCCCUCCACCCAAAGGUGUUCCUACCCAGGGGCACAGCCUACUGACUUGGCCCCGGGCCCAGGCGGUUGUGGGGAAGUGUCCCCCACCUAUCACCUAUCAAGUGUACUUUAGCUUAAGGACAUUUCUGGUCUUCUACAGCGUCCUCUUCUUGAUUACAUGGGAGUAGGGGUGGGGGCGGAAGCCUAGGGGCUUCUAGGACCCUUGAGUGAACAGUGAGAGCUCUUGGGACUUCUUGAGCCCAGGGAGUUAUCAAACACCCACGAAAAUAUUUGGGCCAUGAUUUGGAGGGUUCCAUGAGGUUGGGGGGAGGCCUCUUUCCCCGCUGGGCUGACAUCCCCCACCUUAAAAUGAAAGGUUUGAACAGGGUAGCCUCCAGAGUCCUUUCCAUCUCUCAAUUUGAUUAAUAACUUAAGUACCUACUAUUCAAAAGAGGUCUCUCUCUUGAAGGAAUUAACUUGAGGGAAUUAACAUACUCCACCAAAUGCUGAAUCCCUCCCUCUCUCCCCCCGCACACUGAGGGCAGGAACUCUGCUCUAUUUGUUUUUGUGAAAUACCUGUCCCCUAGUUUGUACUCAGGAAAUGCUUGUAUGAAUGAAUAAAUUCGUGCAUGUAACUUUA